rnacentral:rRNA from 1 species
AGGACGAACGCUGGCGGUGUGCUUAACACAUGCAAGUCGAGCGGUAAGGCCUUUCGGGGUACACGAGCGGCGAACGGGUGAGUAACACGUGGGUGAUCUGCCCUGCACUCUGGGAUAAGCCUGGGAAACUGGGUCUAAUACCGGAUAUGACCUGCUCUCGCAUGGGGGUGGUGGAAAGAUUUAUCGGUGCAGGAUGGGCCCGCGGCCUAUCAGCUUGUUGGUGGGGUAAUGGCCUACCAAGGCGACGACGGGUAGCCGACCUGAGAGGGU